CAGUUUCGAUUUGUGUCGGACUGAUAAAAUGGAUAUGGGUAUCGAUACCUCCUGCUGUCAUGAUCAUACCAGCCCCACCGUGUACUUCAGUAGACGGACCGAUGAUCAUACCUUUGGUAACUCCAUCCUGUACAUCCGGAUUACCGGCCUUACCAACACCUACAAUCUUACCGUCUUUGAUACCGACAUCGGCCUUUACAAUACCCCAAUGAUCAAUAAUAAUGACAUUGUUGAUACAGAAAUCCAACACAUCCUCAUCCCGCAAAGCACGUGCAGACUGUCCCAUUCCGUCACGG
rnacentral:sRNA from 1 species